rnacentral:rRNA from 1 species
AAAUUGAAGAGUUUGAUCAUGGCUCAGAUUGAACGCUGGCGGCAGGCCUAACACAUGCAAGUCGAACGGUAACAGGAAUCAGCUUGCUGAUUCGCUGACGAGUGGCGGACGGGUGAGUAAUGUCUGGGAAACUGCCUGAUGGAGGGGGAUAACUACUGGAAACGGUAGCUAAUACCGCAUAAUGUCGCAAGACCAAAGAGGGGGACCUUCGGGCCUCUUGCCAUCGGAUGUGCCCAGAUGGGAUUAGCUAGUAGGUGGGGUAACGGCUCACCUAGGCGACGAUCCCUAGCUGGUCUGAGAGGAUGACCAGCCACACUGGAACUGAGACACGGUCCAGACUCCUACGGGAGGCAGCAGUGGGGAAUAUUGCACAAUGGGCGCAAGCCUGAUGCAGCCAUGCCGCGUGUAUGAAGAAGGCCUUCGGGUUGUAAAGUACUUUCAGCGGGGAGGAA